GCUUCUUGUGUUUUCUUGUUGGAGUGUUAUCAGGGAUGAGGGAAAAGUUUCACGCAAGCUUACUGAGUGCAUUAAGACAUAUCAGUUGAAGGAUGGUCCAAAUCUGGGAUGCCAGUCCAUGGAGAUCCAUUCUGCUAUACCGGAAUUUUUUUGCGUUCAUGGCUUACAGCCCAAGAUUGGGGUUUGAAGGUUUCUUGGGCAGUCUAGAAUCAAUCCUGUGUAUAUUAAUCUUAUAUUAUGGAUAAUGGUUUAGUAUUUGGUUGAUCCUUUGAAGGAUGCGCUUAUUCUAUAUCCAAGGUUACAACUAAAGCUAGAAAGCACUGCUGCCAAUGGGAGCCGUUUGGUAGAACAACUUCUAGAUGCUGUGUGAGUGAUGCUGCUAAAGAUGAUAAGUUUGGGAACUUGGCAAGCUUGCAAUUUUGUUUGAUGGAGCUUGCAGCCUCUGUUUUCUACUGGGUGUAAAUAUUUUGCAAGUUGUUAUCCAUCAGUCAGAACCUGAAUAUUUUCUGAAUUUUUUUUGGGAAAAGAUUCUCUUUAUUUCCUUGGUGUGAAAAUGCAGAAUCUUUGAUGAUAAGCUGGCCUGAAAGGGUUCAGUUAUUAAGACCUGCCUCAUGCCUUCCUCUCUGGGUAUUCUACUUGCAACGUUUUUAAAGAAUUGUUGUGGGGUUUGUAUUUUUAGACAUUAGGGUUCUCUUAGUUUUACCAACCGUAUGAUUUCUUUCUGAAAUUUUGGAAAUGUGCAGUUGUUAUCCAUCAAUUAGAUGCUGCAUAGUUUCUGAAUUUUUUUGGAAAGGAUUCCCUUUUAUCUUCUUGGUGUGAAAAUGCAGAAUCUUUGAAGAUAAGUUGGCUGAAAGGGUUCAAAAACUUUCCUCAUGUCUUCCUCUCUGGGUAUUCUACUUGCAAUGUUUCUAAAAUUGUUGUUGGGUUUGUAUUUUUAGACUUGAGGGGGUUCUAUUGUAUUUUAUGAUCAUUAAUAGGCCAGUUGGAGGGUUCAAAAUGACAUGCAUAGUCUGGGCCUUGGCCCAAGUAUGGCCUCUAGAGCCUAUUGGAGGGCAAGGAAUCAUGUAGCUGACGAUCUGCCACAUGGCGGAUAUUGGGUGAUUUGGUUCGACCAUAUGACGACCUCACAAUCGGAUCUAAUUACUACUUAUUUUAUGGUGUACUCUAUUUCGAAACAAUAUUUUGCAUGUGUCGUAAGCAUUUCCAUGUGGUUCAUAAGUGUUCUUAUGCUAUCUUGCUUCUCUUAUGUUUCGUCCGAUGCAUUUCCAAAGACGUCUCUUAAAACACCCUCCUGACACGCUGACCGAUACUGAUAUCGAACACCUUGCUCUAUGGGAAUUCUUUACUAUUUUUUUGGUGGGGCCCAAAGCUUUAAAUCUUGAUUUUAAAGAUCAAUACUAGAUUGGUUGAUUGUGAAACCUGUGUCAAUAUUUUGGACUGGACCAACCUUAUGUAUCAUACCUGGUAGAUCUGCUGGACUAGUAGUUUUACUGUGCUUUUCUCUCUCUGGAUUGCUACUGAUCCUCAACUCUUUGCUUCAUGUUGACAUGAUGUAUUUUUGGACGAACUAUGUAGGUAGAGGAUUUAAUAAGCAAAAUGCUAAGUUCUAUAUUUGUAUACAUAGAAACCCAAGCUGUUCUGUGAGUGCUUUCAAAUGGUUUGUGAUCUCUGGCAUGUGUUAAUAUGACCAAACAGCCAUCUUCAGAAAAGAGAGCUAGAAGAGAAGAUGCUGCUGCCUGCCUGAAGGAGGGCUUAUGAAAGGGAAGUGGUUAUUGUGAGUUUUUUAAUCUAAUUUAUGUUAUGCUCUAGUUAACAGAUUCUGUCAUGUGAUCUUGGCUGUUACAUGUAAAAGGAUAAAUCAAAUCUUUGAUAUGCAUUAUUAUGUGCUUGGAUGCGGUUUCAUGGUGGGCAAUCUUGAUAUCUAUUAUGGUGCAUCCUGACUAACAAAAAUAUGCAAGAAGACAUAGGGGGAGGGUUAAAAAAGGCCCCGCAACCAAGGCACUCCUGGGUUGCAAGUUGCAUCACCAAUUCUUAUCGGCACCCAGUUCCAAUGCUUUAUAUGAUCCCUUGAUCUUUUCUUAAUAAUUUUCAGAUUACCAUGAGGCAGCAAUUGCUUGAUGACCAAGGUGCUCCUAGGUUGCAAGUUGCAUCAUCAAUUCUUGUCGGCACCUAGUUCCUAUGCUCCUGAUGAUCCCUUGAUCUUUUCUUAAAAAUUUUAAGAUUACCAUGAGGCAGCAAAUGCUUGAUGCGUUUUUUGUUUUUUGUUUUCUUUCUCCUAUUUGAUCCUAUCAGUUCCUCUUUUGUU